AUUGAACGCUGGCGGCAGGCCUAACACAUGCAAGUCGAGCGAGCGGCGGACGGGUGAGUAAUGUAUGGGGCCUGCCCGAUAGAGGGGGGUACCUACUGGAAACGGUGGCUAAUACCGCAUACUAUCGGAUAACCCAUAUGGGAUUAGCUAGUAGGUGGGGUAAAGGCUCACCUAGGCGACGAUCUCUAGCUGGUCUGCGAGGAUGAUCAGACACACUGGGACUGAGACACGGCCCAGACUCCUGCGGAGGCAGCAGUAGAGAAUAUGCCGCAAUGAACGAAAGCCGGAGGCAGCCAUGCCGCGUGUGUGAAGAAGGCUUUAGGGUUGUAAAGUACUUUCAGCGGAGAUGCGUUACCCGCAGAGGAAGCACCGGCUAACUCCGUGCCAGCAGCCGCGGUAAUUC
rnacentral:rRNA from 1 species